UACAGAGGUCUCAAGCGUUGUUCGGAUUCAUUGGGCGUAAAGGGUGUGUAGGUGGCGCCGUAAGUCGGGUGUGAAAUUUCGGAGCUUAACUCCGAAACUGCAUUCGAUACUGCGGUGCUUGAGGACUGGAGAGGAGACUGGAAUUCAUGGUGUAGCAGUGAAAUGCGUAGAUAUCGGGAGGAAUACCAGUGGCGAAGGCGGCUUCUUGGCCUGUUCUUGACGCUGAGGCGCGAAGCUGGGGAGCAAACGGG
rnacentral:rRNA from 1 species